AUAUUUGACAAUGGGCGAAAGCCUGACGGAGCAACGCCGUGUGAGGGAAGAAGGUCUUCGGAUCGUAAACCUUUGUCAUCGAGGACGAUAAUGACGGUACUCGAGGAGGAAGCCCCGGCUAACUACCUGCCACCAGCCGCGGUAACACGUAGGGGGAGCGCGGUGUCCGGAAUUACUGGGCGAAAAGGGCGCGUAGGCGGCCUAAUAAGUCAGAUGAGAAACCCCCGGGCUUAACCCUGGGCUUGCAUUUGAAACUGUUGGGCUUGAGGACAGGAGAGGAAAGCGGAAUUCCCAGUGUAGCGGUGAAAUGCGUAGAUAUUGGGAGGAACACCAGUGGCGAAGGCGGCUUUCUGGACUGUAACUGACGCUGAGGCGCGAAAGCCAGGGUAGCGAAC
rnacentral:rRNA from 1 species